rnacentral:rRNA from 1 species
AACGAACGCUGGCGGCGUGGAUAAGACAUGCAAGUCGAACGGGAUUUUAUUUGUAGCAAUACACGUAAAGUCUAGUGGCGUAAGGGUGCGUAACACGUGGGCAAUCUGCCGAGAAGUGGGGGAUAGCUCGCCGAAAGGCGAAUUAAUACCGCAUGUGGUUAGUGAAGACAUCUUCGCGAUACCAAAGCCGGGGCAACCUGGCGCUUCUUGAUGAGCCCGCGGCCUAUCAGCUAGUUGGUGAGGUAACGGCUCACCAAGGCUAUGACGGGUAGCUGGUCUGAGAGGACGACCAGCCACACUGGAACUGAGACACGGUCCAGACACUUACGGGUGGCAGCAGUCGAGAAUUUUUCUCAAUGGGGGAAACCCUGAAGGAGCGACGCCGCGUGGAGGAUGAAGGUCUUCGGAUUGUAAACUCCUGUCAUUUGGGAACAAUUGUUGGCGAUUAACUGUCGUCAGCUUGAUAGUACCAGAAGAGGAAGAGACGGCUAACUCUGUGCCAGCAGCCGCCGCGGUAA